UACGUAGGGUGCGAGCGUUAAUCGGAAUUACUGGGCGUAAAGCGUGCGCAGGCGGUUGUACAAGACAGGUGUGAAAUCUCCGGGCUUAACCUGGGAACUGCACUUGUGACUGUACGACUGGAGUACGGCAGAGGGGGAUGGAAUUCCGCGUGUAGCAGUGAAAUGCGUAGAUACGCGGAGGAACACCGAUGGCGAAGGCAAUCCCCUGGGCCUGUACUGACGCUCAUGCACGAAAGCGUGGGGAGCAAACAGG
rnacentral:rRNA from 1 species